GGGGAAUUUUCCGCAAUGGGCGAAAGCCUGACGGAGCAAUACCGCGUGAGGGAGGAAGGCUUUUGGGUUGUAAACCUCUUUUCUUAAGGAAGAAGUUCUGACGGUACUUAAGGAAUAAGCAUCGGCUAACUCCGUGCCAGCAGCCGCGGUAAUACGGAGGAUGCAAGCGUUAUCCGGAAUGAUUGGGCGUAAAGCGUCCGCAGGUGGUUUUGAAAGUCUGCUGUUAAAGCGUGAGGCUCAACCUCAUAAUGGCGGUGGAAACUACAAGACUAGAGUACGUUCGGGGCAGAGGGAAUUCCUGGUGUAGCGGUGAAAUGCGUAGAUAUCAGGAAGAACACCGGUGGCGAAAGCGCUCUGCUAGGCCGUAACUGACACUGAGGGACGAAAGCUAGGGGAGCGAAUGGGAUUAGAUACCCCAGUAGUC
rnacentral:rRNA from 1 species